GGAUUAUUCAAGAAAGUUAAAUGUCUAUAUAUGCAAUUUAAAAAUCGACUCUCAUCAAAGUUAAAAGUAGAGAAAUGUUCCAAAAAAAUGUAAAAUUGUCUAAAUCUUUUAUCUAACAAAGUAGAAUUUAACUCGCGGUACACUGCAUGAAAAUUUAUUUCUUAAAGUUAGUAUAUAUCAAAGUUUCCAAAUUGUAUAUUUAAAUAUUUUAUAAUUGUUAUUAAGUUACGGUAUACCAUGAGUCCACGGAACAAUUAUUAAUAAAGUGAGAAUUUAAUCCAUAUUAAAUGAUAUUUUAAAAUUUUAUAAAUAUUGAUUCAAAACUGUCUGAUAUAUAUCCCUGACCUGAAAUAUAACCAUUCCCGUAAUUUCUUAACUCGUUCCUUGAUUUCUUUUCUAAAAGUAU
rnacentral:sRNA from 1 species